GGGUCAGUAGGUUGGUCGUGCCACCGGUACGUACUGGUCUCACUGAUUCCUCCUUCCUGAAGAACCGUAAUGCCAUUAAUUUGGUGUUGCGGGGAAACAGGACUGUUACUUUGAAAAAAUUAGAGUGUUUAAAGUAAGCUAACGCUUGAAUACAUUAGCAUGGAAUAAUGAAAUAGGACGAUCGAUCCUAUUUUGUUGGCUUCUAGGAUUGACGUA
rnacentral:rRNA from 1 species